AAAACUUCUGUUCUCUUUGAAGUAUGGAAUAAGACCUGGAGGUCCACUGUUCCUACUUAACAUUAUUUUGGACAUACUGAGUAAUGUAAUUAGACAAGAAAACAGAUUAAUAAAAGAUUUUAAAAGAUUGGAAGAGAGAAUUCUGGAAUGGCAGUUGUGAAAAACAUGGCAGACAUUGUCCCCAGCAAAACAGUCAUUGAAUGGAUGAAAAUUGUUUUUUAAAAAACACACACAAACGUUUAAAAUAACUAGAAAUUGUCUCAAGACAGAAAGAACACAGAUAAACAUUUACUCAAGAAAACCCACUAAAUCUUGGUAAGAACAAUGAGAGUCUGUGGCAUUUAAGCCAAAUAUGCUUCCAUCCCUGACACUACUCCAGGUCAGUGAUGGGAGAUCUGUUCCAACCAGUUGUGGCUAAGGGGGUUCCCUCUGCUCCAGCUCCUGGUCUAGCGCUACUCUUUCCCAAUUGGAAAGGAAGGCUGGUAGCAUCCCUAAUUCCUCUGAUCUCAUGCUGCAGAACCACUUUUCAGGAAGGUGCAGCCAAGAGGACUUGGCUCCCCAGGGUAAGGCAAGGGCUCUGUCCCAGACCUGAUGGGCUGAGAAUACUGACACUCCAGUCUCGCCUGUCCCAGCGCACUCAGAGGUUAUAGGUUCCAUGCUUGGAGGGCAAGCAAGCGAAAGAGAUCAGGGGCUGUUAUCUCCCCUACACUGCCUGCUUGUGGAGCACUGGUGUCACUCAGAGUGAAACAGACCUCUGACCCACCCGCCAGCUCCAGUGCAGUAGUGCGAAGGUUCUGCCCAGCGAGAGAGAGGCAGACUGUAAGGACGAAGGACUCUGAAACUCUGACAGAAGGUGUUGUUAAAAACGGUGGAAGUCUUGGUGGCAAGCUCUUAAGAGAGGGCUGGUAGUUCUGUGAGACUAGUGACAACAAUUGAAACUAUCUAGACCUUAAACUAGAAUCAGAGAGAGAGAAUAAGAGCCCUGCUAGGAUGACGUUCAUCCCUGGGGGCCAAAAGGCUGUGUGCGUGCACUAGGCUGCACAGACUCAGGGGCAACCAGAGCAGGGCAUGCAGCAGACUGAAAAACAUUACCUGAGUUGCACAGACCCAUCAACUCAGAGUGGGAGUCUCAUUGGUACUAGAGGAUUAGGUACAACCUCUGCCCAAACGCUGGCUGAAAAAUAAGCUACACUGGCCCAGGGGCAAAUCCUAGGAAGCGUAAGGGGAUUUUCUUUCAAAUUCACAAUGAGAACCUGGUAGAACAAUGAGAACCUGGUAGAACCCCAGGAGGUAAAACUCCUAAAAGUAUGGGAAUUUCCAUCCCUUGCCCCCAUGUCUGGAUUCCCUGGAGUUUUUAACCCCCAGAGUUGCCCACACUGAGCCUCCAGCAAUUCAUCAAUUACAGUUUGGGUUUUCUUACUCCACAUUGGCUCCCCUGGAGGUUUCUUCUCCAGGAGGUUGUGAAUCUCUGCAUUCACCUAUUGGGUUCUCCAAUUUGGGGGGGGGGGCAAUGGUUUGCCCUGUGACUUCACUUAUAGAUCUAAAAAGAGCUGUUGAUUUUUCAGUUUGUUCAGGUUUUUACUUGUUAGGACAGAAUGGCAAAUCCCAAGCUUCUUACAUGCCGGAUCAGAAUCCAGACCAGUCUUUGUCUUUUAAUUGGUAUAUUUGGGCCACUUACAUUUAAGGUAACUAUUGAUAUGGUAGGAUUAUGUGUAUCCCUUUCAGUUAGUUUCCUCUGGUUCUUGUUCCUCUUUUUUCUUAACUUCCUGUGAGAUGCCUGAACACUUUUUAGGAUUAUUUCUCGAUUUAAGUUUUUUAAAGCCUCUCUCUUUUUGUAUUUUUCUUAGUGGUCACUCUGGAUACUACAAUAUACUUUUGUGGCUUAUUACAGUCUCUAGGUAGCAACAUUUUACUACUUUGGGGAUUUAUCCAAAGGAAAUGAAGUCAGGAUCUUAUAAAGGCAUUGGCACUCCCAUGUUCAUUGCAGUGUUAUUCAUAUAGCCAAGAUAUGGAAACAUUCUAAGUGUCCCUAGACAGAUGAAUAGAUAAAGAAAAUGUAGUAUAUAUAUGACAGAAUAUCAUUUGACCAUUAUAAAGAAGGAAAUUCUGCUGUUUGUGACAACAUGGAUGGAACUUGAGGGCAGUCUUUCUUUUUUUAAAAAAUUGAAGUGCAGUCGAUUUAUAAUACUGUGUUAGUUUCAGGUGUACAGCAAAGUGAUUUGGUUUUAUAUAUAUAUUCUUUUUUUAUUCUUUUCAAUUAUAGAUUAUUAUAAGAUAUUGAGUAUUAGUCCCUGUGCUAUACAGUAAAUCCUUGUUGUUUAUCUAUUUUCUACCUAGUAGUGUGUAUAUGUUAAUCCCAAACUCCUAAUUUAUCCCUCCUGCUCUCCCAUUUUGUAACGUUAAGUUUGUUUUCUGUGUCUGUGAGUUUGUUUCUAUUUUGUAUAUAGAUUUAUUUGUAUUAUUUUUAGAUUCCACAUAUAAGAAAUAUUGUAUGAUAUUUGUCUUUUUCUAUCUGACUUAUUUCACUUAGUAUGAGAAUCUCUAGGUCCACCCAUGUUGCUGCAAAUGGUGUUAUUUCAUUCUUUUUUACGGCUGAGUAAUAUUCCAUUGUGUACAUAUGCCACAUUAAUCCGUUCAUCUGUCGACAGACAUUUAGGUUUUUUCCAUGUCUUGGCUAUUGUAAAUACGCUGCUGUGAACAUUAGAGAGCAUGUAUCUUUUUGAAUUAGUUUUCUCUGGAUAUAUGCCCAGGAGUGGGAUUACAGGAUCAUAUAGUAACUUUUUUUUUAGUUUUUUAAAGAGCCUCCAUACUGUUCUCCAUAGUGGCUGCACCAAUUUAUAUUGCCCCCAUUAGUGUAGGAGGGUUCCUUUUUCUCCACACCUUCUCCAGCAUUUAUUACCUGUGGACUUUUUGAUGAUGGCCAUUCUGACUGGUAUGAGGUAAUACCUCACUGUAGUUUUAAUUAGCAUUUUGCUAAUAAUUAAUGAUGUUGAACAUCUUUUCAUGUGUCUGAUGACCAUCUGUAUGUGGAAAAACAUCUAUUAGGUCUUUUGCCCAUUUUUUAAUUAGAUUGUUUGGUUUUUUGAUAUUGAGUUGUAUGAGUUGUAUUUGGGAAAUUAGGCCCUUAUUGGUUGCAUCGUUGGCAGAUAUUUUCUCCCAGACUGUAUGUUGUUUUUUUGUUUUGUUUUGUUUUGUUUAUGGUUUCCUUUGUUGUGUAAAAGCUUAUAAGUUUGAUUAGGUCUCAUUUUAAAAUUUUUGCUUUUAUUUCUAUUGCCUUGGGAGACUGACCUAAGAAAGCUUUUGUGCGAUUUAUGUCAGAGAAUAUUUUGCCUCUGUUCUCUUCUAGGAAUUUUAUGGUGUUCUGCCUUAUAUUUAAGUCUUUAAGCCAUUUUGAGUUUAGUUUUGUGUGCGGUGUGAGGCUGUGUUCUGGCUUCAUUGAUUUACAUGUGGCUGUCCAACUUUCCCAAAACCACUUGCUGAAGGGACUGUCUUUUUCCCGUUGUGUAUUCUUGCCUCCUUUGCAGUGGUUUUCACUCUUUCAUUCGGUAUUUAUCAAGUGCCUACCAAGUGUCAAGUACUGUGCUUGGUUUUGGAGAACAGCAGUGGAAAAAAAAAAAAAAAAAAA
rnacentral:lncRNA from 1 species